ACUAGAGCCAUAUCUCCCUGCAGUUCUUGCCUGUUUCCCACUGAAGCUAAGCAGCAUUGAGUGUGGCCAGUACCUGGAUGGGAGACCUUCUGGGGGAAAACUAAGGUUGCUGCUGGAA
rnacentral:rRNA from 1 species